UUUGUUCUAAUAUUAUAUUAAACAAAAAUAAUAUUAAUUUUAAAAUAAUUUUAACAACAAACUGUAGAUUGAAGCCUAUAAAUUAGCCACCAUUUCCCAUCUUCAAUAUCAAAAGUGCCUAAUCUAUCAAUAUCUAUAUUUUCCUUGCUUCAUCUAUUAAUAUCAUAUAUCUUCCUCUCUAGAAAAAAACAUGGCACACAUUAACAACUUCAUUAGAGCAGUAUUCUUUAUUGUAUUCAUUGUGGGGUUUUUGCUAGCUGCUGAGGCAAGGUCACAGGUUAAUGAGUUCUCUCCGGCAUCAGCUCCAGCACCUGAAGUUGGGGCUGGAUUUUUUGUGACAUAUUCUGGAGCAUUUAUUUGUUCAUCACUUUUCCUUUCUCUACUUGUACUUAUCUUCCAUUAAGUUCCAGUAUUGUAUUCUUUUCAAGAUUCUAUUAUCCUAUUUGUUCAUUAUAAAUGGUGAUGAUUGGUGAUUAGUGAGUUUAUUUGAAGGUGGUGCCAUUUUUUAUUUUAUUUUAUAUCAUAUGUCUGUUUCGUUAUUAUUUGUGUUUUUUUAUAUUAUAUUUUGGCAAACUAAUUAUUUGGUUAAGGUGUAAUUCAUUAUAUGAAUGAAAAUAAUAUGAGUGUUACAAUGUUAAUUACGAUAGGAAAACACCAAGAGUAUGGAUAAUGACUUUAUAAGCCAUUUUAUUUUGUUCUAUGUUUUUCUUC
rnacentral:lncRNA from 1 species